AUUGGAUCAUGGAUGCGCUAAUGGACAACACGGAUGACAAGGAAAGUGUAUGUUUUAUCUGGCGAAUAAGAAGGGAUGGCCAAUAUGAUUGGAUUCCUUAGGCUCAUUGUAGGAAGAAAAGAAAACAAACUACAGGAAUAUUUUCAUUGAGGUUAUCGCAAACUGCCAUCGUACAUGCUCUGGGUGUCUUGAGGAGCUUGUCUUUGGAGGAUGCUGAGCAGGUCUUUCUUUCUGGUAAAGAUUAUCAUUACAGUGAAGUAAAAUAAUUUAACAGACUGUUGACAAACAACUGACGAAAGAAGAGAGACCAUUCAAUAG
rnacentral:lncRNA from 1 species